GGCAACCCGCUUGGGUUCCCUACCCCAGUGUGGAAGCUUUGUUCUUUUGCUCUUUGCAAUAAAUCUUGCUGCUGCUCACUCUUUGGGUCUGCACUGCCUUUAUGAGCUGUAACACUCACAGCGAAGGUCUGCAGCUUCACUCCUGAAGCCAGCGAGACCAUGAACCCACCAGAAGGAAGAAACUCCAAACACAUCCGAACAUCAGAAGGAACAAACUCCGGACA
rnacentral:lncRNA from 1 species